AACACAAUUAGUUAAAUAAUUGAUUUAAAGCGAAUUUACACACAGUAAUUUUGGUUAACAGAAGCCAAGCAAUUAGAAAAAUUAGCUGCGAGAAGAACACGAGGUGAUCUUGAGGUAGCCGAAAGAAGAAUAAUGGCGGAAACCGUUAGAAAACGAGUCUCCUUCCCCGUGAGGAAGACUAAGCCUGAGAACGGAAGAGCUCA